AAAGAAAAAGAGUGGCGAACGGGUGAGUAACACGUGGGUAACCUGCCCAUCAGAAGGGGAUAACACUUGGAAACAGGUGCUAAUACCGUAUAACACUAUUUUCCGCAUGGAAGAAAGUUGAAAGGCGCUUUUGCGUCACUGAUGGAUGGACCCGCGGUGCAUUAGCUAGUUGGUGAGGUAACGGCUCACCAAGGCAACGAUGCAUAGCCGACCUGAGAGGGUGAUCGGCCACACUGGGACUGAGACACGGCCCAGACUCCUACGGGAGGCAGCAGUAGGGAAUCUUCGGCAAUGGACGAAAGUCUGACCGAGCAACGCCGCGUGAGUGAAGAAGGUUUUCGGAUCGUAAAACUCUGUUGUUAGAGAAGAACAAGGAUGAGAGUAAAAUGUUCAUCCCUUGACGGUAUCUAACCAGAAAGCCACGGCUAACUACGUGCCAGCAGCCGCGGUAAUACGUAGGUGGCAAGCGUUGUCCGGAUUUAUUGGGCGUAAAGCGAGC
rnacentral:rRNA from 1 species